rnacentral:rRNA from 1 species
GUGGGGAAUCUUGCGCAAUGGGCGAAAGCCUGACGCAGCCAUGCCGCGUGAAUGAUGAAGGUCUUAGGAUUGUAAAAUUCUUUCACCGGGGACGAUAAUGACGGUACCCGGAGAAGAAGCUCCGGCUAACUUCGUGCCAGCAGCCGCGGUAAUACGAAGGGGGCUAGCGUUGCUCGGAAUUACUGGGCGUAAAGGGCGCGUAGGCGGACAGCUUAGUCAGAGGUGAAAGCCAAGGGCUCAACCUUGGAAUUGCCUUUGAUACUGGCUGUCUUGAGUUUGGGAGAGGUGAGUGGAACUCCGAGUGUAGAGGUGAAAUUCGUAGAUAUUCGGAAGAACACCAGUGGCGAAGGCGACUCACUGGCCCAAUACUGACGCUGAGGCGCGAAAGCGUGGGGAGCAAACAGGAUUAGAUACCCUAGUAGUCC